UCAGAUUGAACGCUGGCGGCAUGCCUAACACAUGCAUGUCGAACGCGAAAGUCGAACGCACCUUCGGGUGAGUGGCGGACGGGUGAGUAACGCGUGAGAAUCUGCCCUCAGGAGGGGGAUAACGGCUGGAAACGGCCGCUAAUACCCCAUAUGCCGCGAGGUGAAACGAGUUUUCGCCUGAGGAUGAGCUCGCGUCUGAUUAGCUAGUUGGUGGGGUAAGAGCCUACCAAGGCAUCGAUCAGUAGCUGGUCUGAGAGGAUGAUCAGCCACACUGGGACUGAGACACGGCCCAGACUCCUACGGGAGGCAGAAGUGGGGAAUCUUCCGCAAUGGGCGAAAGCCUGACGGAGCAACGCCGCGUGAGGGAUGAAGGCCCCUGGGCUGUAAACCUCUUUUCUCAAGGAAGAAGAUCUGACGGUACUUGAGGGAUAAGCCACGGCUAAUUCCGUGCCAGCAGCCGCGGUAAUACGGGAGUGGCAAGCGUUAUCCGGAAUUAUUGGGCGUAAAGCGUCCGCAGGCGGUCUUGAAAGUCUGUUGUUAAAGCGUGGAGCUUAACUCCAUUUCAGCAAUGGAAACUAGAAGACUAGAGUGUGGUAGGGGCAGAGGGAAUUCCCGGUGUAGCGGUGAAAUGCGUAGAUAUCGGGAAGAACACCAGUGGCGAAGGCGCUCUGCUGGGCCAUAACUGACGCUCAUGGACGAAAGCCAGGGGAGCGAAAGGGAUUAGAUACCCCUGUAGUCCUGGCCGUAAACGAUGAACACUAGGUGUCGGGGGAAUCGACCCCCUCGGUGUCGUAGCCAACGCGUUAAGUGUUCCGCCUGGGGAGUACGCACGCAAGUGUGAAACUCAAAGGAAUUGACGGGGGCCCGCACAAGCGGUGGAGUAUGUGGUUUAAUUCGAUGCAACGCGAAGAACCUUACCAGGGUUUGACAUCCUGCGAAUCCCUUGGAAACGAGGGAGUGCCUUCGGGAGCGCAGAGACAGGUGGUGCAUGGCUGUCGUCAGCUCGUGUCGUGGGAUGUUGGGUUAAGUCCCGCAACGAGCGCAACCCACGUCUUUAGUUGCCAGCAUUCAGUUGGGCACUCUAGAGAGACCGCCGGUGAUAAACCGGAGGAAGGUGUGGAUGACGUCAAGUCAUCAUGCCCCUUACAUCCUGGGCUACACACGUACUACAAUGCUACGGACAAAGGGCAGCAAACUCGCGAGAGCUAGCAAAUCCCAUAAACCGUGGCUCAGUUCAGAUCGUAGGCUGCAACUCGCCUACGUGAAGGAGGAAUCGCUAGUAAUCGCAGGUCAGCAUACUGCGGUGAAUACGUUCCCGGGCCUUGUACACACCGCCCGUCACACCAUGGAAGUUGGCCACGCCCGAAGUCGUUACUCCAACCCUUGUGGAGGAGGACGCCGAAGGUGGGGCUGAUGACUGGGGUGAAGUCGGAACAAGGUA
rnacentral:rRNA from 1 species